UUCAACUCAUUUAUAUUAGUUAAAAUAUGGAGAAAAAUUUUGUUAUAUCAGCUAUCAUUGAUGGUUAGAAGCCAACUAUCCAUUUUGAUUUCAAAAGUAUCUAUUUGAUGAUAGUAUAGAGUUGCAAUCUGCCCCUAUUCUAUCAUCUGAAAAUAAAGUUCUUAAAUAAAUACAUGACAUCAAUUGCAUAUUUGGUGACAUUUUUAACUAUUCUAGGAGAGG
rnacentral:lncRNA from 1 species